AUACGGAGGAUCCGAGCGUUAUCCGGAUUUAUUGGGUUUAAAGGGUGCGCAGGCGGCCAUUUAAGUCAGCGGUUAAAUCGUGGGGCUCAACCCCAUUCUGCCGUUGAUACUGGGUGGCUUGAUUGCGGUCGAGGUUGGCGGAAUUCGUUGUGUAGCGGUGAAAUGCAUAGAUAUGACGAAGAACACCGAUUGCGUAGGCAGGUGACCAGACCACAAAUGACGCUCAUGCACGAAAGUGCGGGGAUCGAACAGGAUUAGAUACCCUGGUAGUCCGCACAGUAAACGAUGAAUACUUGUUUUCGGCGAUAUAAUGUCGGAGGCAAAGCGAAAGCGAUAAGUAUUCCACCUGGGGAGUACGCCGGCAACGGUGAAACUCAAAGGAAUUGACGGGG
rnacentral:rRNA from 1 species